UUGGGGAAACUGCACGGAUGGGCGACCAAGUAUCUUCCAUAACAGCAUCUACACACGCCAGGCUUGUUUGGAGACGUGUGCUAUCGAGACGAUGGUGAAGGACGUUGGAUGCAUCGAUUCCAGCUAUGCAUAUGAUGAAGCGGUGGAUAGGUACCCGGUGUGCGUGACUGCCGAAAGCAUGUUAUCUGCAACGCAACGACUGCAUGCGCUUGUCUGUGACUGUCCGCCAACAUGCAA